CAGGUCCAGCAUGUUGAACUUUUCGACCCCAGCCAGAGUGAAAUCGACGAUGGAUAACGGUUGGACACAGUGCUUUACUUGAUUGCGAAUUAAGCCAGACCAAACCACUUUCACCUGCUCUGAUAUAUGAAAGAAAACACCUACAAAACUGCAAGGCAGCCCCGGUGCUUAAAGCAGAGCUGGAUGCGGGACUCAGCAAAGUGAACAGAGGCGGUUACAGACAGAGAUGGAUCCCACGCUGAGAAAAGAAAGGACUACGAGGAGCCUCAACACCAAAAGCACUUCAAUCACUUCCCAGCCAACAACACACCGAGAUCCAUGAGGAGCGUGGAGGGAGCUGCCCUAUCGAGUGCACCACAUGGAAAGUCAUGGAAUACGUACCCAUGCCCCUGAAGACACUCGAGGCUUAACCCUGCAGCCUGGACUACUCAGCUUCCACCACAUGAUUAAAAGACAUGGACAUCACCCAUUGGCC